GUAACAAGGUUUCCGUAGGUGAACCUGCGGAAGGAUCAUUACCGAGUGCGGGCUGCCUCCGGGCGCCCAACCUCCCACCCGUGACUACCUAACACUGUUGCUUCGGCGGGGAGCCCUCUCGGGGGCGAGCCGCCGGGGACUACUGAACUUCAUGCCUGAGAGUGAUGCAGUCUGAGUCUGAAUAUAAAAUCAGUCAAAACUUUCAACAAUGGAUCUCUUGGUUCCGGCAUCGAUGAAGAACGCAGCGAACUGCGAUAAGUAAUGUGAAUUGCAGAAUUCAGUGAAUCAUCGAGUCUUUGAACGCACAUUGCGCCCCCUGGCAUUCCGGGGGGCAUGCCUGUCCGAGCGUCAUUGCUGCCCAUCAAGCCCGGCUUGUGUGUUGGGUCGUCGUCCCCCCCGGGGGACGGGCCCGAAAGGCAGCGGCGGCACCGUGUCCGGUCCUCGAGCGUAUGGGGCUUUGUCACCCGCUCGAUUAGGGCCGGCCGGGCGCCAGCCGACGUCUCCAACCAUUUUCUUCAGGUUGACCUCGGAUCAGGUAGGGAUACCCGCUGAACUUAAGCAUAUCAAUAAGCGGAGGAAAAGAAACCAACCGGGAUUGCCCCAGUAACGGCGAGUGAAGCGGCAAGAGCUCAAAUUUGAAAUCUGGCCCCUCCGGGGUCCGAGUUGUAAUUUGCAGAGGAUGCUUCGGGUGCGGCCCCUGUCUAAGUGCCCUGGAACGGGCCGUCAGAGAGGGUGAGAAUCCCGUCUUGGGCAGGGUGC
rnacentral:misc_RNA from 1 species